UACGUAGGGGGCGAGCGUUAUCCGGAUUCAUUGGGCGUAAAGCGCGCGCAGGCGGACCGUUAAGCGGGACCUCUAAUCCUGGGGCUCAACCUCAGGCCGGGUCCCGAACUGGCGGUCUCGAGUGCGGUAGGGGAGGUCGGAAUUCCCGGUGUAGCGGUGGAAUGCGCAGAUAUCGGGAAGAACUCCGAUUGCGAAGGCAGCUCACUAGACUGCAACUGACACUGAUGCUCGAAAGUGUGGGUAUCAAACAGG
rnacentral:rRNA from 1 species